rnacentral:rRNA from 1 species
CUAGAGUUUGAUCAUGGCUCAGAACGAACGCUGGCGGCAGGCCUAACACAUGCAAGUCGAGCGAGGACUUCGGUUCUAGCGGCGGACGGGUUAGUAACGCGUGGGAACGUACCCUUUUCUACGGAAUAGCCUCGGGAAACUGAGAGUAAUACCGUAUACGCCCUUAGGGGGAAAGAUUUAUCGGAGAAGGAUCGGCCCGCGUUAGAUUAGAUAGUUGGUGGGGUAAUGGCCUACCAAGUCUACGAUCUAUAGCUGGUUUGAGAGGAUGAUCAGCAACACUGGGACUGAGACACGGCCCAGACUCCUACGGGAGGCAGCAGUGGGGAAUCUUAGACAAUGGGCGCAAGCCUGAUCUAGCCAUGCCGCGUGAGUGAUGAAGGCCUUAGGGUCGUAAAGCUCUUUCGCCUGUGAAGAUAAUGACUGUAGCAGGUAAAGAAACCCCGGCUAACUCCGUGCCAGCAGCCGCGGUAAUACGGAGGGGGUUAGCGUUGUUCGGAAUUACUGGGCGUAAAGCGCGCGUAGGCGGACAUUUAAGUCAGAGGUGAAAUCCCAGGGCUCAACCCUGGAACUGCCUUUGAUACUGGGUGUCUUGAGUUCGAGAGAGGUGAGUGGAAUUCCGAGUGUAGAGGUGAAAUUCGUAGAUAUUCGGAGGAACACCAGUGGCGAAGGCGGCUCACUGGCUCGAUACUGACGCUGAGGUGCGAAAGUGUGGGGAGCAAACAGGAUUAGAUACCCUGGUAGUCCACACCGUAAACGAUGAAUGCCAGUCGUCGGGCAGUAUACUGUUCGGUGACACACCUAACGGAUUAAGCAUUCCGCCU